UGUAAAACUGCAGUCAGAACG
ensembl:piRNA 21ur-5326 ncRNA